AGCACAAGAGUUCUGAGUUGCAGUGAGCUAAAUUGAUCUAAUAUCUUCACUAAGUUCAGCAUUGAAGUGGGGAGCCUAUUGGGAAAGAAGGGAAGAAGGUAGAGGGGACCACCAGGUGGCCUAAGGAGAGGUGAACAGACCCAGGUUAGAUAAAAAGUUGGUCAGAACUCCCAAGGUCACUAGAGUGGGAUUGUCUCAUGAUUCGUCCUAGAACUUUGAGCCUGGGUAAGUUAGAGAGAUCCAGUCAAUGAAUCAGUAAACACAUUAACAAAACACAUAAAAGCUUUACACAGAAUUUUAGCUUUGGAAAAGUCAUCUAAUCCAAAAUUGAAUCCAAACAGGAAUCCCCUUUGUAGCAUCUCUUAUUUAUCUAGUGGUUGCUGGAAAAUCUUUGGUGGAUGGAGAAACCAUUAAGCCUUCCAUGACAAAUCAUCCCCCUUUAGACUAGUCUAACUGCUAGAAUAUCUUAAGCUGAAGUGCUAAUAGAACAAUCAAGUAAGAAUCAUCGAACUGGAAUUAAUUAGUCAGAGAUAAGUUCUGGAAUUUAAGAGACAAGUAAAGACUGAUAUAAUUUGGGGAGUGACCUCCCUUGUAGUAAUAGUGAAAGUCAAGGGGAUGAAUAACACUGAUGAGAAGGAGAUUAUAGAGAAAGAAUAAAGAAGAGAGUCAAGAAGUGAACUUUGGAAUGUACUACAGAGAGAUUGAGAAGAAUGUGAUUUCUCAGAAGCCAAUGAAAGAGAAAAUAUCAAGAUAAGGAAAAUGAGAUCUAAAGAGGUCACAUCACUUGGCCAGCAUCAUUCAGGCUGAUUACAAAUCAAUCAACCAAUCAAUGAAAGAACUAAACUAUCAAAAAGAUGUUUGUGGGAAAAGACAUAUGAAGCAUGGAGCUACCAUCUUGGAAGGGACAGAGAACUCUGUCAUCAUUGACCAUAAUAAAGAAAAGCACCUUCAAACCCUUUUGGCAUCUUUGUGGUAUGAUGGAAAAGGUCCUUGACUUGGAA